GUUAUGGAUGGUGGUGUAGAUGAGGCUGGGUCUAGUCAUGCUACAGAUGGUGGUGUAGAUGAGGCUGGGUCUAGUCAUGCCAUGGAUGGUGGUGUAGAUGAGGCUGGGUCUAGUCAUGCUACAGAUGGUGGUGUAGAUGAGGCUGGGUCUAGUCAUGCUAGAGAUGGUGGUGUAGAUGAGGCUGGGUUUAGUCAUGUUAUAGAUGGUGGUGUAGAUGAGGCUGGGUCUAGUCAUGCUAGAGAUGGUGGUGUAGAUGAGGCUGGGUUUAGUCAUGUUAUAGAUGGUGGUGUAGAUGAGGCUGGGUCUAGUCAGGUUAUAGAUGGUGGUGUAGAUGAUGCUGGGUCUAGUCAUGCCAUGGAUGGUGGUGUAGAUGAGGCUGGGUCUAGUCAGGUUAUAGAUGGUGGUGUAGAUGAGGCUGGGUCUAGUCAUGCUAGAGAUGGUGGUGUAGAUGAGGCUGGGUUUAGUCAUGUUAUAGAUGGUGGUGUAGAUGAGGCUGGGUCUAGUCAGGUUAUAGAUGGUGGUGUAGAUGAUGCUGGGUCUAGUCAUGCCAUGGAUGGUAGUGUAGAUGACGCUGGGUCUAGUCAGGUUAUAGAUGGUGGUGUAGAUGAUGCUGGGUCUAGUCAUGCCAUGGAUGGUAGUGUAGAUGAGGCUGGGUCUAGUCAGGUUAUAGAUGGUGGUGUAGAUGAUGCUGGGUCUAGUCAUGCCAUGGAUGGUAGUGUAGAUGAGGCUGGGUCUAGUCAGGUUAUGGAUGGUAGUGUAGAUGAGGCUGGGUCUAGUCAGGUUAUGGAUGGUGGUGUAGAUGAGACUGGGUCUAGUCAGGUUAUAGAUGGUGGUAUAGAUGAGGCUGGGUCUAGUCAGGUUAUAGAUGGUGGUGUAGAUGAUGCUGGGUCUAGUCAGGUUAUGGAUGGUGGUGUAGAUGAGGCUGGGUCUAGUCAGGUUAUGGAUGUAGUGUAGAUGAGGCUGGGUCUAGUCAGGUUAUAGAUGGUGGUGUAGAUGAUGCUGGGUCUAGUCAGGUUAUGCUAGUGGAUGAGGAGAGUAUAGUGGGGAAGUGUAAGAAACUAGGGGGGAGGAGGAGGGUGUCAAGAGAAAAAGGGUGUGGUCAAAGGCACCAUGGAACCUUUGCCUGGUGCUGGGGGAGGCCCUGACUAGAGAGGAAGGGCAGGUGGUCAGGAUUGGAGAUGGAGAUGAGGAGGAGGAAAGUGAGUCUGAGGAAGAGGAUGAUGAGGAGGCCUUUUCUUCAGACUCCUCUUCAAUGGGUCCGGAGCUGACAGCCAGUCAAGCAGAGGGGUCAAAGUAUACGGUGAGAGAACUGACAAGGUUCCUGAAUGAGACCAAGGUGGAAAAAGUUAAUCUUGAGGAUUUUUUUUCUGAUCCGAGAAAGUUUGUAAGAUCAGUACAACAUGCUAUGACAAAUGAGGGGCAUGGUGUCCUCUCACCCAGGAAACGGUUUAG
rnacentral:lncRNA from 1 species